AAAGUNNUAACAAGGUUUCCGUAGGUGAACCUGCGGAAGGAUCAUUACCGAGUGAGGGCCCUCUGGGUCCAACCUCCCACCCGUGUUUUCCGAACCCUGUUGCUUCGGCGGGCCCGCCUCACGGCCGCCGGGGGGCUUCCGCCCCCGGGCCCGCGCCCGCCGAAGACACCUGUGAACGCUGUCUGAAGUUGCAGUCUGAGAAACUAGCUAAAUUAGUUAAAACUUUCAACAACGGAUCUCUUGGUUCCGGCAUCGAUGAAGAACGCAGCGAAAUGCGAUAACUAAUGUGAAUUGCAGAAUUCAGUGAAUCAUCGAGUCUUUGAACGCACAUUGCGCCCUCUGGUAUUCCGGAGGGCAUGCCUGUCCGAGCGUCAUUGCUGCCCUCAAGCACGGCUUGUGUGUUGGGCCCCCGCCCCCCCCCGCGCUGGGGGGGCGGGCCCGAAAGGCAGCGGCGGCACCGCGUCCGGUCCUCGAGCGUAUGGGGCUUCGUCACCCGCUCUUGUAGGCCCGGCCGGCGCCAGCCGACCCCCCUCAAUCUAUUUUUUCAGGUUGACCUCGGAUCAGGUAGGGAUACCCGCUGAACUUAAGCAUAUCAAU
rnacentral:misc_RNA from 1 species